rnacentral:lncRNA from 1 species
UGUCUGCUUUCUCUCAUUGUGGGAGAGAAGUUUGUAUUUGGAGGAGGGUGCCACCUCUGAUCACGAAUUUGGGGUUCUGAUCGGAGUGAAUCUCUAGCUCCUCGGCUGUAGCGGUCAGUUACAUUUGGUGGUUGGAAACGGUUCAUAGGUUCGCGAAUCUGGGGUUCUGAUCGGAGUGAAUCUCUAGCACCUUGGCUGUAGCGGUCUGUUGCAUUUGGUGGUUGGAAACGGUUCACAGGUUCGCGAAUCUGGGGUCCUGAUCGGAGUGAAUCUCUAGCACCUUGGCUAUUUGGUGGUUGGAAAUGGUUCAUAGGUUCAAUCUUUUUGGGUCUAUUAUCGGUUUUGAUGGAAGAAUCUUGUUGAAAGAGUGGAACUGAGCUGGUUCUACCAGAAUCAGGAACAUCCCUGUCUGAAACAACAUUCAUUUUCUUAGUAGCCGUUGUUGAGGUAAUCACAUUUCUA